rnacentral:rRNA from 1 species
UACGGGGGGGGCAAGCGUUGUUCGGAAUUACUGGGCGUAAAGGGCUCGUAGGUGGCCAACUAAGUCAGACGUGAAAUCCCUCGGCUUAACCGGGGAACUGCGUCUGAUACUGGAUGGCUAGAGUUUGGGAGAGGAAAGCGGAAUUCCGGGUGUAGCGGUGAAAUGCGUAGAUAUCCGGAGGAACACCAGUGGCGAAGGCGGCUUUCUGGACCGACACUGACGCUGAGGCGCGAAAGCUAGGGGAGCAAACGGG